rnacentral:rRNA from 1 species
CAGGCCUAACACAUGCAAGUCGAGGGGCAGCGCGGAGUAGCAAUACUUUGGCGGCGACCGGCGCACGGGUGAGUAACACGUAUGCAACCAACCCAUAACAGGGGGAUAACCCGGAGAAAUCCGGACUAAUACCGCAUAAGACCACGAUAUCGCAUGAUAUAGAGGUCAAAUAUUUAUAGGUUAUGGACGGGCAUGCGUCUGAUUAGCUGGUUGGCGGGGUAACGGCCCACCAAGGCAUCGAUCAGUAGGGGUUCUGAGAGGAAGGUCCCCCACAUUGGAACUGGGACACGGCCCAGACUCCUACGGGAGGCAGCAGUGAGGAAUAUUGGACAAUGGAUGGAAAUCUGAUCCAGCCAUGCCGCGUGCAGGAAGACGGCCCUAUGGGUUGUAAACUGCUUUUAUACGGGAGCAAUAAGGUCUACGUGUAGACUGAUGAGAGUACCGUAUGAAUAAGCAUCGGCUAACUCCGUGCCAGCAGCCGCGGUAAUACGGAGGAUGCGAGCGUUAUCCGGAUUUAUUGGGUUUAAAGGGUGCGUAGGCGGCCUUGUAAGUCAGCGGUGAAAUUUUGCAGCUUAACUGUAAAAGUGCCGUUGAUACUGUGAGGCUAGGAUUUGGUUGCUGUGGGUGGAAUGUGUGGUGUAGCGGUGAAAUGCUUAGAGAUCACACAGAAUAUCGAUUGCGAAGGCAGCUCACAAAGCCAAGAUUGACGCUGAGGCACGAAAGUGUGGGGAUCAAACAGGAUUAGAUACCCUGGUAGUCCACACUGUAAACGAUGAUAACUCGCUGUCGGCGAUAUACAGUCGGUGGCCAAGCGAAAGCGAUAAGUUAUCUACCUGGGGAGUACGACCGCAAGGUUGAAACUCAAAGGAAUUGACGGGGGCCCGCACAAGCGGAGGAACAUGUGGUUUAAUUCGAUGAUACGCGAGGAACCUUACCCGGGCUCGAACGGUGCAGGAAUAUGGUAGAGAUAUCAUAGCUAGCAAUAGUCUGUAUCGAGGUGCUGCAUGGUUGUCGUCAGCUCGUGCCGUGAGGUGUCGGCUUAAGUGCCAUAACGAGCGCAACCCUUGUCAUUAGUUGCCAUCAGGUCAAGCUGGGGACUUUAAUGAGACUGCCACCGUAAGGUGUGAGGAAGGGGGGGAUGACGUCAAAUCAGCACGGCCCUUAUGUCCGGGGCGACACACGUGUUACAAUGGGAGGUACAGAGGGCAGCUAUCCGGUGACGGAAUGCUAAUCUCCAAAACCUUUCUCAGUUCGGAUUGGAGUCUGCAACUCGACUCCAUGAAGGUGGAUUCGCUAGUAAUCGCGCAUCAGCCAUGGCGCGGUGAAUACGUUCCCGGGCCUUGUACACACCGCCCGUCA